UGCAGCAACGCCGCGUGAGGGAUGACGGCCUUCGGGUUGUAAACCUCUUUUAGUAGGGAAGAAGGGAGCUUGCUCUUGACGGUACCUGCAGAAAAAGCACCGGCUAACUACGUGCCAGCAGCCGCGGUAAUACGUAGGGUGCAAGCGUUGUCCGGAAUUAUUGGGCGUAAAGAGCUCGUAGGCGGUUUGUCGCGUCUGCUGUGAAAACCCGAGGCUCAACCUCGGGCCUGCAGUGGGUACGGGCAGACUAGAGUGCGGUAGGGGAGAAUGGAAUUCCUGGUGUAGCGGUGGAAUGCGCAGAUAUCAGGAGGAACACCGAUGGCGAAGGCAGUUCUCUGGGCCGUAACUGACGCUGAGGAGCGAAAGCGUGGGGAGCGAACAGGAUUAGAUACCCUGGUAGUCCACGCCGUAAACGUUGGGCGCUAGAUGUGGGGACCUUUCCACGGUUUCCGUGUCGCAGCUAACGCAUUAAGCGCCCCGCCUGGGGAGUACGGCCGCAAGGCUAAAACUCAAAGGAAUUGACGGGGGCCCGCACAAGCGGCGGAGCAUGCGGAUUAAUUCGAUGCAACGCGAAGAACCUUACCAAGGCUUGACAUAUACGAGAACGGGCCAGAAAUGGUCAACUC
rnacentral:rRNA from 1 species